ensembl:lncRNA
UCCUUAACAAGUGACCUCCUUUAACUUUGUUAGUUCAUAAUUGAUUUGCUAGCAUGUAACCAAGAUAAUUAACACUCCUGAUUAGAGGCAGCCAAGAGAAGGAAGCUCUUUUUUUCAUGGCCAAGGCAAAUAUUGACUAAAAUUCGAGCUGUUUCCUAAGUUUCCUUACAAUUUAAUUCAUGGAAGGUGGUGGUCGGUGAUUUGUGGUUUUUAGUUAAAAAAUUAAAAUGGAGGUGAGAUGAAUGGGUCUGGCUACAGAACACUUUAUGACUGACUCAUAUUUUGGAUACAUGUGCUUUUUUCCUUUUCCUCAAAUACAAAGAUAUGAAGCAAGAGAAUCAAGUGGCAAGCGAAUAGAUUUAAUGGAGACUUUGAACACCUGGAGAGACUUCCACUUGUCAGGAGCGGGUGGGGAGAGGGGAGAAAGACGCACCGGACCUAAUAAGGAUCCUAAGCAUGAGCAUCAUCUUUUGAGUGGUCCUGUCUACUGUAGUUUACAAAGGUCUUUCACUUCCUUCUCUCUCUCCUUUGCCAACGAUCGUUUUAGGGCUGGGCCUGUGACCCAGUUCUGGCCGCUGGAACUUGAGGAAAGUCUCCUGGGGACUUGAUUUAGAUGAGAAGCACCCUCCCCCAGCUUGGGGUCAUGGGAUGUUGGUGCUUGGGGAAGCAAUACCUGCAGCAGCCAUCUUACAAGCGGGAAGGCGAGGCCAACACAAUGGACUCUUGGAGGAUGUGACCUGCGCCCUGUGAACCCAGCCUGGAACCUCCAACCUCCAGACUCCUCAUUAGCCUCUAUUGUUUGAGCCGGGUUUGCUCUGGUGUUACUUGCAGCCAAAGCCAUCCCAGCUGAAGCUAGGCUGGUGGUGAAGCCCUUGGACAGAUGCAGCUGAGGGAAAGCGUCUGUUCCUACUCAAGGAUGGAGGAGGUUUAAGGGCACUGGAUACAGUUCUCAGUCUUGAUGUCUCACCAUGUGACUAGUGGUCAGAUGGUCCUCCUCCCGCACCUUGUGUGAUGGGCCAGUGGGCACUGCCCUGAGGAACGGGGUGAGGUGUUCGGACCCCAGCCUCACUUGCAUUCAUACCUCCUCAGCUUCAGAUCAGGGUGCUCUGCGUUCCCGUGGCUGUUCCUUCACCACCAUCUCCACAGCUCGUCCUAUUUCUGGAAUUAAAUUUCACUUGCAGAUCGAGUAAGCAGCUACUGAGGACCACACAUGCGCCGGGCCGUAUAUGCCCCACGCUGGACCCCUCCACGUAGAGCGUCUGAUUUCCGAGUCUCCAAAGCGGGCAUGGCGAUCACUGCAUUGCACAGAUGGGAAGGUGGGGCUGAGCGUGGCCGAGCGACUGGCUCCAAGGUCCUGCAGCCAGUUGUCUAACCUGCAGCCAGGCAUCGAACCCAGGCCUCCUUCAGCUAGUCUUUCCCUAUAAGAUGGGGUGGGGUUGGUACCAUAACGUAGUAGGUGAGGGUCCCAGCAUGAGUGCAAGAGGAUUCAGAUGUGGCCGGGCUUGUGCACUGCAGCCCACCAGAAGCGGAUUUGCCUGAUGGACUGAGGAGAGAGGUCACCUAAGGCAGAGGGAGUCGGGAAGACAAGCUCUGCCUGGCACUGACCAUGGCACGGCGGAGGGGGUUAUGGGGGGCCACGGUGAAAUUGAGCACAGCUUGGGGCCCCAGAAACCCAUGGGGGGAGCUGCGUUAUGAGUGAGGACCAUGAGAUGUCAGGACGGCCACACUGCAGCUUGGGGGCCUGUGGGACCAAGGGGGGCCCUGAGUAGGGAGAG